GAGAGAUGCUAUGCCGUAAAAAGAACAUGUUGAAUGAGCCAUUAACAAUGGUCUCCUCUAUCUCUAUUCUUACACCAGGUUGAGCUCUCUCCUUCAUCAUUUCCAACUGUGUCUUAAUAUAUUGCGCCGCUAGUCUCAGACCUUGACGCCCUUGCUGGCGACCUCCGAUAUCCUUUGAUAAGAUGCGGACAUGCUCAAUAGCUCUGGCCUCAGAGAAGCGAUCAGGAGGAGCGUCCAUGGGAAGAGGUGUGAUG
rnacentral:misc_RNA from 1 species